GAGACUCAAAUAUUUAUCAUGAUUAAUCUAAACAUAAACCCACAAUCUGUCGGAGCCCAACAAACGCACCGCACAAAAGGAAUUACAUCAUGUGGAUCAAAGUGAAGAUUCGAUGAUAAUUUUAUUGAAUAUAAAAGAAAGAUAAAUUGUCAUCAAUGUACUCGCCAUGGACUUGUAGGUCUGUGGUGAACUACUAACACAUCAUCAUCAGGGAAGCAGGGUUGAGGAAGGGGCCCUCCAUGAUCGAUCCUCCUCUAGCAGGGUGCCGGAAUGGAGCUCUAGAUGGACUCCCGUCGGAACAGAGACUUGCGCUGGCGUAAAAACUGUCUUCGGACUCCUUGUGAUGUUUUUAGGGAACAACAAAAUUUAUAAGCCAGAGAACGAAGUCGACAGGGCCACGAGGGAGGCACAAGCCAUUAGGGCACCCCCAAGCUGCGCCCUAUUGGCUUGUGGGCCCCUCUUGCAGCCUCCAGCCUUCUUUCGAUACUCCGCGGUCUUCUUUUGCUCCAAAACAAUCACCAAAAAGUUUUAGGUCAAUUGGGAUUUGUUUGGUAUGGAAAACCUGAAAGGUGAAAAACACGUAGAAAACAACAACUCGCAUUGAGCACUGGGUCAAUAGGUUCGUGAAAAUAAUAAUAUAAAUUGGCUAAUAAAUACCCCAGAAGUAUUCUAGAAUGAUAAUAUAUCAGCACUGAACAAUAAAAAAUUAUAGAUACGUUGGAGACGUAUGAGUGAGUCGGGAUCCAUGUGGCUCAUGGUGCUCCCUCUCUCAAAUAGGAAGGUGUGCUCGUCGCCCCCCUCUGGCUGAGCCCGGGUACGCCAUCAUGGAUGGCAUGAGGCACGCCCGGCCUGCCGAAGAAGGUGAUCGAGCAUAACCAAGUCUCGUGCGAGGGCACAUGGCCCAACAGCAAGCCCCAAGGCACAUAAAUCGUCCGUGAAGCCCCCAGCCCCAGGUGGAUCAUCAGCACCACCCCCAUCUCCAAGCCGCACGGCAGCAGGCACAUGUGCAUGGACUUCGUUUCUCUCAAUACGACUUGCCAUGUGUGGCCCGUCUCUCCUCGAUUCCCACUCAUGCCCAUGCCUUUCUGCAUGAGGAAUGCUGCAACCAUCUCUGCAAGGCUGACGUGCAUGAGCCUGGAGUCCCACAUCUCGGAUGUGGUGUACAAUCGCCAACCCCCUCCCGUGGCCCAAUGAAUGACGGUAGAGGGUGUUCCGUUCUAAACACAUGGAACGCCCUCCAUCAUGAUAAGUUCUAUCUGUGCUCCAUGGUUAUGAGCGAGCUGGGGGUGUACACACCGUGGGGCUCUCUCUAGCCACGCUGCCUUCGACACGUGAGAGCCCCUUCCCACAUUCGUGGAAGCCGCAUGCUCCAUGCUGACGGAACUCUCCUACCCACUUUCGUGUAAGCCUCAUGCUCUGUGCAGGUGGAAAUCUCUUGCCCACUCUCGUGUGAAAGCCCCAUCCUCCGUGCUGGUGGAGAUCUCCUACCCACUCUCGUGUGGAAGCCCCAUGCUCAUGCUGGUGGAAAUCUCCUACCCACUCUCAUGUGGAAGCCGCAUGCUCUAUGAUGCUGGAAAUCUCCUACCCACUAUCGUGUGGAAGCCCCAUGCUCAGCGCUGGCGGAAUCCCCAUGCUCAGACAUGGCGUACUUUUUGAUAUGAUGGCACUUUUCGCCGAAUACAAACAUCACACCAACCCGUUUCGAAUAUGGCAGCAUGUAUGUUUUGCUAUGUAAUAAACCAGUUUCAUGCAUCAUUAGAACUUGUUUUUGCCAAACACCUUGUGUGCCGGCAGGUGGUAUGCUUCAAGUGAGGUGUGUGCUUAUGGUAUCCCCCUUGUCUGUCACACGGGCGGGGGCUGGGCACGGUGUCAGUGCUCAGGUUAGUCCAUGCAACACUGCAAAACCCAAGCGACUAAGCUCUGGCUCGCGGGCCUGUUUGCAUGUACGCCACCUCAUGAGGUACUUGGUGCUCUUACCUCCCCGCUUGACACCCUCGGGCGACCCAGCGAGCACGCCCCGCGAUGCCGCCUGGCAGUUUCUUUUCCUUGGUGCACGGCUUUUGGUGGGGCCUCAAGAGCUCCCCCAGGAAGGCUCGUGAGCGGCGGCCUGUGGGAGGAAGGAUUCAUGAGGAGCCACAAGCCCUAAAGAAGCUAAGUAUAAUCAUGCCAAUCGGGCUUACCCUCCUCUCACUCUUUCCCUAAGCGUCCAAUUUUCCUCUGUACGUGGUGUGUGAACAUCAAGGGGGGCUUGGGCAUCGUGCCCCGAGAUCUCCUACCGGCCCUACGAGCCCUACACCCUUUGGCCUUGCUGAGCCCUUGAUUCACGCAUACCAGCGAUGGUGUAGCCCAUCUCACUGGUUGGGUCCCAGCAACUCGGGCACAAGGUAUCGGUGUUAAAACCGGGCGAUCUCUGGUAGGGGGUCUCGAACUGUGGACCUUGGAUCGAUGGGUUGCAGGAAGAGGGGGUAGACAACGGUUUACCUAGGUUCGAGCCUUCCUAUUGUGGUAAUACCCUACGUCCUACUUGAUUGUACUGAUGAAGAUGAUUACAGAGUAGAUCUACCUCGUGAUCACAUAUGCUAAACCCUAGGUGAUUCAACAUCCUCUACACGAAUAAGAGUCCGUGGUUUAUAUUGACACCACAGUCCCUAGGAUUUAAAAGUUACCGACUAUAAUCGAAGAUAGAUGAGCCAACGUAUUCUUCCUAAGCUUGAAGUACACGCCAAUAUUCGGGAUAUUCCUUCUAGAGUAGAGGUCCUCAUCAGGCCCAGUCUUCUUCAGUGUGGCCCAAUGGGCUCACCCAAUAUUGACUAACCUGCCGCCCGAGGACCCCAGAAUCCCGGAGUCCCUCAGUAACCCCCGAACUAGCCUUCAACACCGUGUUCAGUCUUCAGUUGCCCCUCAUAUCGAUAGUAAUCAGAUUGCAAGGUGAGUUCCGCCCGUGCUUGGCUGACUUUGAUUUGUUCGCGUCACUAACCUGCACAUUAUUAAAACUGACAUCUUCUAUUUUUAACUAAGGCAUUUAAACUCCCAUGUGUGAAUAGCCCCUCAAUUGGGAGGCUUUCCUGACGAAAGGUCGCAUAUAACCGUUGCUUGGGGCCAUGUUUCAAGGGACAUGCCCUCUCGAGGAGAUCGUGCCUCUUCAUUUAUUGGGAUAGGAAUAACUGCACAGGCUUACCCACAUGCACAACGGCUCGAUAAUUUUUCAGAGGUGGGUGGCGGAGCAACCGGCGCAGUAAAAGGGACCCUUGGUAUUACAGUCCCUUAUAAAAAGGAACAAAGAUCCAAAGGUUUCUACCACUUGCAUCGUCGGCUUAUCUCUUGCCUCCUCCAAGCUCGAGCACCUAGAUCCAAUCCUUUUUCCUCUCUCUUUUUUCUUCGCCGUCUUAGAGCCCACACCAAGGCCGACUCUCAUGGCAAGUGCGAGGUGUCGACCAUCUCUGACGUUGACAUCCAGGAGCUCAAGCGCUUCGGAUACCUUACCUGUGACAUCGCCCACCGGGCGGUAGAGGCAAGCUAGGUGAUCCCGACUCCAAGGCCGGGUGAGAGGGUAGUGUUCAUUCCCCAUUUCCCUCGGGGUCUAGGCUUUCCCCUUCACCCUUCCUUCAGGGGUCCUAUGUUCUAUUGGAACGGGUUGGAUUUCCAUCAUCUCCCUCACAACUCCAUUAUGCACAUUACGUCCUUCAUCAUAGUGUGCGAAGCAUUCUUGCGGGUUCACCCGCAUUUCGGGCUUUGGCUUAAGAUGUUCAGUGUCAACCCAAAGUCCGUGAGCAGCCAGCACGUUGAUUGUGGCGGGGCGGUGAUAAGCAAGCUCUACAAGGUGAUAUGGCCAGAGGACACCAUGAUAGAUACUAUCAAGGAAUGGCAUAAGGAGUGGUUCUACAUCACCGAACCACAGGAGGCGAACUGGGCGGCGCCUGCCGAUUUCAAGUCUGGCCCUCCAGAGAGGCUCACCUCCUGGGUCAAGAAAAACAUGGACUCGGGAUUUGCUAGGGAUGUGAAGGUGAUGCAAAAAUGCAUCAAGUAGAUGGGGGAUGUGAACAUCCAAAUGACCGAUGUGAUCCAAGUCGCUCUACAUCGGCGCAUCCUACCGUGUCAGCACUGGGCUAAUCCGAUGUGGGUUUACAAGCCCGAUGAACCCAAGGUCAAAAAGGAGUUCUUCUGUAUGACCCAUGAGGACAUAUGGCAGGCUUUGUUCAAGUCCCAACAAGUGUGCCCAACCAAGGACGAAGGCACAAGCCUGGACAAUAGGACCCCUCUAGUCGAGGUAUGUUCGAAUGUUAUUCCUAUCCUAAAGUUCUGAUCUCCUUUACAGAGAUCUCACCUCUCCCCUAAAUGGUUUUGCCACGAGAGGUUGGCCAUAGCCAAGAACAUGGACGAACCUGCUCCUCUACAUGAAGAUCCAAUGUCAGGGUUGUUGGCCACAAUGUUGGUUCCAAAGCCGUACAAGGCACGGGAGCCGAAGAAGAAGGAGACAUGCGAAGGUUUCCGUUCCUAGGGUCCCCUGGACACUAAGUCUGAGGCCACACGUGUUCCCUCUACUCUUGAGUUGGAGGAGGUGGAAGAGGAGGAUGAUAUGGACUCCUCCCAGUCCAAGAAGAGAGCACCACAAGAGGAGGAGAAAGAAGUCGUGCCUCCUAGGGCCCCAAAGAGGCCUUGCAAAGGCAAGGCGCUUCUCUUGGCACGUGUCCGGAUUUUGACGACGAGAUCGGGGAGUUCGAGGUGGUUCCCUACCUAGCCCCCAGGGUCAAACCCCUGGCCCGAAGGUACGAGCUUUGAUGACUUUAUUGAGUGAACAUAUAUCGAACCCUAUACUAAUUGGUCGACAUGUAUUUUUUUUGCUCAUUACAGCCCCGUCCGAGAUCUGCCAACAGAUCAAGUCCCAGAGGAUGAUUCACUGCCAGCCGAGAUGGCGGACAGUGGGAAUGCAUCCCGCACCUCCCUUCCCCAAGCCUCUAAGGAGGCCAUGGAGGUGGCUUCCCACCUGACCUCGCUUAAUGCGGGAGGCGAAGAGGUGAUCGCCGAGGUGAAUACCUCGGAAGUUCAGGACCGAGAGGUCCCGGUCAUCGAAGAUGCACCUGCGACCAUGAGUCGGGAGGCUCUGAUUGAGGCCAAUUCCCCGGUCAAUACUACACGAGAGAUCAGCCCUUCAUAAGGUGGAAAGGAGGGUCAAAAUUCAACUGAGCUCCCUCCAACGUCUUUGGAACCACCCUUGGUGUCGGCCGUGCUAGAACGGGCCACGGUCGGGGGGUCGGUAGUGAUGGAGGAGAUCCUAGCGGAUUCCUCCAUUGCUAAAGAACAACGCAUCUUAAUGGGUGUGGUUUUGCGGAGCAUUCAGUGUGUUAACAACGGACUGAAUGAAGCAUUUACAUCCUUAUCGACGGGCUUUAAGGUAAACCGCCCACUUUACUAGUAUUGUAUUAUAUUUGAAAUAUUUUUUUACUGGUAUGACAACCCCCGAGCGAGGGGGAGUUUGCAAAGCUAACUCGUGGCUCAGAGAAAUGCACAAAAAAUGUCCAACAAUGAUGCCUAGAAUACUUAUUUUAAGAAACUUGACCAAGUAGAGUAGGUUAAAUAGGUUGAAAUCAUUCUAACGGAUUGUGCAUCUUGCACGCCUCGUCAUCGUCUGCCAAUUCUAACACAUUGGAAAUAGCCGAACUCAGUCGGAAAUUGCAAGUGUCCGGCGAAGAGCUUGACCACCUCAAUGGUCGGUUUGACGAGAAGUAGGGUGAGUUUGUAUAAGAGUACCCCAUUUUAAUUAUAUCUGAUGGAAUGCCCUGGCCCUCCAAUCUGACCUUUGUCAUUUUCUCUUUGAUCAGUAGCUCAAGAUAAAGAGCUUGAAAAGCUCCUGGCCGAGGUGGAGAGAUCCAAACGAGAGGCCAUUUCCUACAAGGCAGUCGCCAAAUAGGCAGCAGACGAGCUGGACGCCCUGAAGGCCGUGAGCAAGAAAUAUGAGGCUAGGGUGACGAUGGUCCAGCAAGAGCUGGAGGAGGCGAGUCUGAAGUGCGAGGCCUUUGAGAAAAAAGUCAAAGAUCAAGCCACCGAGCAGACCAAGCUAUCCGCCGAGCUCCAAUCAUAGCAGGUAGAACGGCUAUUCUUUGAAGAAGAAGUGCGCCAGGUCAAGCUGAUGGCAACCGGUAAGCCAUACUUAAUGCAGUGUGCCUUUGGUGAGAACCAAUUUGCCUUUCUUAUUCGGAUAUGGUGUUCUGCACACGCCUUCACCAACCUCCUACAGAAUGCAACAAAUGCGGCCAAUUACUUUGCUGCUCAUGACGGGGAUGCCGAGCAACGACUAUUCUAGGCUGAAUUUCAGGCCCCUAAGGCUAACCCUAGUCCAAGCUACCAAAUGAAGCAACUCCUUGAACUACAUAGGAUCGCCCAGCCGGCUAUGAUAGACAUGUAUAUUCGGUUGUGUCCUACCGAGCCCUUGCCGAGUAGCUACUUUGCCUUGGUGCGGCAACUAAUUGAAGUCACACCUCAGAUUGAAGACCUGCAACGCUCAACAUGUAUAGAGGGGGCUCGGAUGGCCUUCGCCCAGACGAUGGUGCACUUCCCAGGGAUGAGGCCACUCAAGAUGGCUACUACCCGCUACCUACUGGAAAUGAGCACACGUGCCACGAGUUGUACGUUACUUCUUCCAUCGAGGGUGCUCGGGCGAUCAAAUCGCAAUUGUCAAAGGAUGUGCUAUGAGAAUAGGUUUAUGUUGAUGCAAACGAGAACGAUCUGCUUAAAGCAGUAUAUGUCCAAAGGUAAUUAUGUAUUAUAUUAUUUUGAUUCAUGUUUGUAGCCGUUUAACCUGAAAGUUUCUAGUCGUCUGCUUGAGCCCCCAUGUAGAUACUACUUGGGGUGUUCCAUCGUUCGUACACAUCCCUUAGCCGAUUUAGUCGGUGCCCAAAGGUGGUACUAUAGAAUGGAAACGACGCAAUCAAACUACGAGGGUUUAUCGCUUUCACUUAGCCUUAGGAAUGCUUGUAAUGUGGGGGCUAAUGACAAGCCCCCAGCCCUUGUUGCCGUAGUUGGAAAAACCGAAGAUCGGAAUGACUACCGCGGGGUUUGUUGAAUUGCAAACCCGUCCGUAUAACACGGGGUAGCCUCUAUCGAGUAUAUAAACAAUCUUAGAUUGCAGACCAGUUCUCGCUCAUUAUGAUGGUCAGUUUUUGGCUUUCUCCACCGAGGUAUUUCAAUACCAGGGAAGCUGGGAAUACAAUCGCAGUGGUUCUCCCUUUACCCCUUUAGCCGAAUUAGCGGAACGUAAGGGGGUAAGCACAGCGGGCAAUCCAACUGUAGACCCAAGACAUAAUUCAGAACCGAUGCAUAUAAUGCAAAAUGCUAAGAGAUUGAACACAUGUAUAAGAGUGAUGGUGAGGUACUCGGGGGCGGUUAGUGUAACCUAGCCACCGGUUAGUAGCCACACACAUUCUUUUUUUUCUAUUUUAGCAAUCAAAAAAUGAGUUUGUCUUGUCAGCGCCAUGCAGCGGAAAAACAUGAGUAAGAAUAAAUACAUUAAAAGAAAAGCAUAUGUGAUAGAUAUUGGCGAAGAAUUUUUACCAUUCUCGGCUCUAGGGCCGCUGUGUACAGGAAACUAUCAAAAUUAAGCAACACCUCCCUUUCAGACAUUUUACGAGCAACUUGACGUACAUCUGGCUUUUGGCCUUUCAAUCAAGGAGCAAGUUGAAACAGUAGGGGAGGGAGCUUUUUCCUUGAAAGUUUGUUGCAGAUGGUAGAAGGACUUUCAAUCAAGGAGCCAUGAGAAGCCGCCGAUGGAAUAUAGCUUGAUGCUUGGGAGGAUCUUUAUGGUAUCCCAUGUGUAUCCGGGAAGAAUUUCGCACCAUAGUUUGGUCUAGCCGAGCAUAUGGUGCUUGUUCAGAUCUCCCACACCAUCCCAUGAUAUGCGGAGAACGGAAAAUGUGUAUUAUGAGAGAUAUAGCUUAAAGGUGCUUGGGAGAUGCUAUGGGAGGGGUGGUCUUAUGUGUUCGGGGACGAGGAGUUCUCCACGGGACCCGAUUGCGCUUGGGAUCACUUACCUACUUGUUGCGGCUUAGCCGGCUUGUGACUUGAUAGUUCACCAUCAUGUUCGCCUUCCGCUGCCAAGGUAGUGGUGUGUUCUUUGGUCCAGAGAGAUCGUUCUGUAUUGCCAUUGACGGUGAUGACUCCUAGGAGUUCGGGCAUAUUCAGCUUGAGAUAAGAGUAGUGGGGCACCACGUUGAAUCGGCCGAAGGCGAUGCUGCCGAGCAGUGCGUGGUACCCGCUGCAAAAGGGGACGAUGUCGAAGAUCAAGUAUUUGCCACGGAAUUUAUCGGGUUAUCCGAACACGACUUCCAGCGUUAUGGUUCCCGAGCAGCGAGCCCUCACAUCUAGAAUAACUCCUUUAAAGGUAGUGUUGCUUGGUUCUAUUCUUGAUGGGUCAAUGCCAAUCUUUUUCACCAUAUCUGCGUAAAUCGGAUUAAGCCUACUUCCAUCAUCCAUGAGGACUCUCGUGAGGUGGUACCCAUCUAUAAUGGGGUCGAGGACGACAGCGGCCGACCCUCCAUGAUGGAUGCUGGUCGGAUGGUCCCUGCGGUCGAAUGUGAUCGGACAAGCCGACCAUGUGUUUUAGAAUGGUGCUACAGGAUCUACGGCAUAGACUUCUGGGAGGGCUUGCUUCCGCUCCUUCUUGGGUAUGUCAGUCACAUAAAUCAUGUUUACUGUUUUUACUUUGGGAGGGAAAUGUUUUUGGCCCCAGUUGUGCGGGCCAUGGGACUCCUCGUCGUCUUCACUUUGAGGGAUCCAGCCUUGUUCUUCGGUCGCUCCUUUGCCGGCUUGCUUGAAUACCCAACAGUUAUGGUUGGUGUGAGUGGCUGGUUUAUCUUGAGUGUCGUGGAUUUGACAAGUCGUUCCAUAAUUUUUCCCAUUAGGUUGGUCCGUCUUUAUUCCCUUUGAAGGGUUUCUGAAGCUGUCCUGGCUUGGAACUGCGGAACCCAGCACUAACUGUUGUGUCAACGGCAUCGCUUGUGCGAAGGCGGCACUGUUCUUUUUUCCCUCAGCUUACCGUUCCUGUCCCGAGCUUGAGAGGUUCUAGGAUCGUUCAACUUGUGGUUGUGCCGAGGUAGAAGUUGUCUUCGCCCGCGCAAAACCGUGUCAUGAGGGAAGUGAGGGCAGACAUUUUCCUUGACCUGUCCUAUCCGAGCUAGCAAGCCAACCACUCGUCCCGGAUGUUCUGCCUGAAAGAGGACGUGUCUUCGGAGUGUGGGCAAUCCACGAUUUGGUUUUUCUUCAUUAAGAACCGGUUCUAGAACUCUUUGGCCGACUUGCAUGCCUUCUAGAUGACAUUUCUUAGGUCGGAGGAAUCCAGUAGUCGGACGUAGGUCCCGUGGAAGUUGGAUAGGAAGGCUUCUUCGAGCUCUUCCCAGCUUCUGAUCGAUUCCUUGGGCAGGCUGUUUAACCAGAACUGUGCUAGCCGUUUCAACUUGAGGGGCAAGUACUUGAUGGUGUGGGGAUCGUCUCCUCUCGCCAUGUGAAUGUGGAGAAGGAAAUAUUCUAUCCACACCGCAGGAUCCGUGGUUCCGUCAUACUGUUCUAUGUUGAUGGGAUUGAAUCCCUCCGGAAAUAGAUGAUGCAUUACUUCGUCUGUGAAGCAUAGUGGAUGUGCGGCGCCUCUAGUCCGGACUAUCUUGUGACAAGAUCAGCUUUGGGUUGAGUCCAGUAUGAAUCCUGAUGUCUAGCGUAGUAGGGGACUUGAGGUGGCUCUCCGUCCCAUCUAGUGUGGGAGUACUUUCUUGACCCAUAAAUGGAUCUGUUGCGGCCCGUCUUGUUAUCCAGGUUGCAUCGCAGCUCGUUUCUGCCACAAGGGUGUGCUUUCUCCUCCACCUUUCCACGGGGCAGCCUGGGGUAAUAUUUGGCGUCCGACGCCACCCUGUCGCGCCCUUGAGGCACGCGGUCAGGCUGGUCAUAAUAUGUUUGCUUUGGGGAUGCGGGCCUUGGGGCCUUGUCAUCUAAUUAUGGCAAUAGUCGGCGACAUGGGUAACUUUCUUCUGAUCCAGCCAUCCAGGGUCGUGCUCUUCUUCGGUAGCUAGUACCUUGGUCCACCUUCUGUUUAUAGUGUCGUCUUCGGCUUCGAGUUGACGCUCCUUUGCCUUUAAGCUUCGAGCGGUAGCUAGGAUCAGCUUCCAAAAUUUAUCUUGACCUCCAAGGUCAUCGGGUAUUGUGAAGUCUUCGUCCUCCGGGUAGUCGUUGACGGGGGGGUGAUAAUGAUCGUCGUUCGACCUGUUGAUGUCGUCAGGUUUGUCCUGCUCCUCAGGUUGGUCCGCAUCCUCGAGCGGAUGUUCUGGUAUACCAGGGUUGUCGUGGUCUUCUGGGGUUUUAUUUUCCCCGGUGCCUUGUGCAAAGACUUUUCCCUGCGCCUUAGCACGCUUACGCUGCUUUCGGCGCUUUCAUUUCUCCUCCCCAGAUUUGUCAUCGUUUGGCUGAGGGGGACGUCGCCAUUUUUAUCACGCGUGUCCACCAUAUAGACGUCAUAAGUGGAGCUUGCGGUACAUCGCCCUAUGUUUGUGGGAGUGGGUUCUUCAGCCUCAUCAUCGAUGCCCUCAAGCUCCUUGGAGCCGUAGUCUAAUGUGUCGGUUAAGUCUUCAACGGUUGCGACCAAGUGGGUGGUGGGCGGGCCGUAAAAGUCCCCAUAUUUCGAGUUGUACUGUGAGCAGUUCGAGCUAGUUGAGAUGUGCAACGAUUGGAUCCGACCGAGCAUCCCGCUUAACACCGAGAGCUCAUCCUGAUGCAUCAUCGGAUGGUCUUCAGAGUUAGUUGAUACGUCUCCAACGUAUCUAUAAUUUUUGAUGGGUUCAUGUUAUUAUCUUGUCAAACUUUGGAUGUUUUGUAUGCCUUUUAUAUCUUUUUUGGGACUAACUUAUUAACUCAGUGCCAAGUGCCAGUUCCUAUUUUUUCCAUGUUUUUGACCCUUUUCAGAGGAGGAUUUUAAACGGAGUCCAAAAGGAACGAAACUUCCAAAAAGAUUUUUUCCGAAACAGAAGACGACCGGGGGACUUGAGAACCAAGGCCGGGGGCCACCAGGGACACCACAAGCCCCCUAGCCGCGGCCAGGGGGCCCGCGCCUACCAGGCUUGUGGGCUCCCUGGGCCACCUCUGCCCUAGGUCUUCCGCCUAUAUAUUCCCAAAAAUUCGAGAAAAAAUCAGGAGAUCAUCGAAAGUACUUUUCCGCCGCCCCAAGCUUCUGUCUCCGCAAGAUCCCAUCUGGGGCACGUUCUGGUGCCCUGCCGGAGAGGGGAUUCGGAUACGGAGGGCUUCUUCAUCAACACCAUGACCUCUCCGAUGAUGCGUGAGUAGUUCACCAUAGACCUACGGGUCCAUAGCUAGUACCUAGAUGGCUUCUUCUCUCUCUUGGAUCUUCAAUACAAAGUUCUCCAUGAUCUUCGUGGAGAUCUUCCCAAUGUAAUCUUCUUUUGUGGUGUGUUUUUCGAGAUCCGAUGAAUUGUGGAUUUAUGAUCAGAUUAUCUAUGAAUCUUAUUUGAGUUUCUUCUGAUAUCUUAUAUGCAUGAUUUCAUAUCCUUGUAAUUCUCUUCGAGUUUUGGGUUUUGUUUGGCCAGCUUCAUCUAUGAUUAUUGCAAUGGGAGAAGUGCUUGGUUUUGGGUUCAUACUGUGCGGUGACCUCACCAACUGACAGAAGGGGUACCGAGGCACGCAUCAUGUUGUUGCCAUCAAGGGUAAAAAGAUGGGGUUUUCAUCAUUGGUUUGAGUUUAUCCCUCUACAUCUUGUCAUCUUGCUUCAGGCGUUACUCUGUUCGUCAUGAACUCAAUACACUAGAUGCAUGUUGGAUAGCGGUCGAUGUGUGGAGUAAUAGUAGUAGAUGUAGAAAGUAUCGGUCUACUUGUCUCGAACGUGAUGCCCAUAUGUAUGAUCAUUGCCUUAGAUAUCGUCAUGACUUUGCGCGGUUCUAUCAAUUGCUCGACAGUAAUUUGUUCACCCACCGUAAUAUUUGCUAUUUUUAGAGAAGCCUCUAGUGAACACUAUGGCCCCUGGGUCUACUUCACACCAUAUUUUCAGUCUUACCCUUUUACUUCGUUGCACUUUCCGCCUUCAGAUCUCACUUUGCGAUCAAUCUUGAAGGGAUUGACAACCCCUUUAUAGCGUUGGGUGCAAGAUCGUUUGUGUUUGCGCAGGUACUCUGGACUUGACGAGAUUCUCCUACUGGAUUGAUACCUUGGUUCUCAAACUGAGGGAAAUACUUACUGCUCCUAUGCUGCAUCACCCUUUCCUCUUCAAGGGAAAAACCAACGCAAGCAAGUCUCCGUCAACCUGUCAAUUUCUGGCGUUGUUGUUUGAGAAGUAGCAGAAGGAUUUCCGGUGCCGUUGCCGGGGAGGAUCAAAUCAAGAACUCAUCCAAGUAAGUUUCGCAAACUCAUCUCUUGCAUUCUAUUUUUUGCCUCUCGUUUUCCUCUCCCCCACUUGUGAAAAACAAAAAUUUACAAAAAUAUUUGCCUUUUUCAUUCGCCCUUUUCUCUCGCUUGCUUUCUGUUCGCUUGUGUGCUAUGUGCCUUCAAUAUGCUUGCAUCUUCGCUUGCUGAAAAUCUAGUGAUAUGGAUCUUCACCCACUUGCUAAUCUCUUUAAGAGAUCCACUUAUGUGGAACCAAUUGCUAGUGAGUUGAGUGCACUUGACUUUCUCUAUGGAGUUUUGCUUGAGAUGCGUGAAUCUGAAAAUCGUGUUGAAGAAAUCUAUGAAAUGAUUCACGAGGGCUCCUUGAAUGAAAAGCAUGAUAGCAAUGAUUUCAUUAUAAAUUCUAUUAGUGACAAUCAUGCUAAAAAUAUGCAAAACCCUAAGCUUGGGGAUGCUAGUUUUGCUAUGUCCACUACUUGUAGCAAUGCUAUUUGCAAUAAUAUUGAAAGUGGGUUUGGAGAAGUCAUGACUUUAGUUGAUGAAUAUCCCACUAUUUUUGAAGAGCGUCAACUUUGCAUGCAUCUGGAUCAUGAAAAGAAUAUCCUUUGUGAUAGCUAUUUUGUUUAAUUUGAUUAUGAUCCCACAUGUAAUUGCUAUGAGAGAGGAAAAUUGUGGUAGAAACUUUUAUGUUACCAAUUUACCUCUCGUUAUGUGGAGAUUGCUAUUGUCUCUUUCUUCUUCCUUGCAUAUGGCAACUAUUGGUUGUCUUGACAAUCUGUUUUCCUAUAAAAUGCCUAUGCAUAGGAAGUAUGUUAGACUUAGAUGUGAUUUUCACAUGCUUUAUGAUGCUCUCGUUGUGCUUCAAUUCUUGUCUUUUGUGUGAGCAUCAUUGAUUUAUCAAUGCCUAGCUAAGGGCCUUAAACAAAAGCGCUUGUUGGGAGGCAACCCAAUGAGUUUAUCUUUUUCUUUCUGUUUUGUUGCGUCCACACCAUCAUAAUUCUGUUAUGAUAGUGUAUUUUGUGUUUCUUUUUGUGUUUGAGCCAAGCAAAACCUUUAUGACUAGUCUUGGUGAUGGUUGUUUGAUCCUCCUGGAAAAAGACAAAAACUUUUCGCUCACGAGAUUAUUUUCAUUUUUAUUCAGAAAGAGCUUUUGAGUUGAUUAUUUUUUCUGCUGGUUGAUAUUCCUUUUGCCCAGGCAGUCGUAAUUUUUCAGAAUUUGUGAGGUAACACAAGUAUACGAAGUAUACAGAUUGCUACAGACUGGUCUGUUUUUGACAGAUUCUGCUUUUGUUGAGUUGGUUGCUUGUUUUGAUGAAACUAUGGAUAGUAUCAGGGUACUAGCCAUGGAAAAGUGAGAAUACAGUAAUCUAACACCAAUAUAAAUAGAAAUCAAGAUUGUUACAGUACCUAAAGAGGUGGUAGUUUGUUUUCUUGUGCUAAUGAUAUCACGAGUUUCUGUUUAAGUUUUGUGUUGUGAAGUUUUCAAGUUUUGGGUGAUGUUCUCAUGGACAAAGAGAUAAGGAGUGGAAAUAUCUCAAGCUUGGGGAUGCCCAAGGCAUCCCAAGCCAAAUUCAAGGACACCAAAAAUCCUAAGCUUGGGAAUGCCCCGGGAAGGCAUCCCCUCUUUCGUCUUCAAUCCAUCGGUAACAUUACUUGGAGCUAUAUUUUCAUUCACCACAUGAUAUGUGUUUUGCUUGGAGCGUCUUGUAUCGUAUGAGUCUUUAUUUUUGUUGUGUCAUCCUUGCUGCACACCUUUUCAGAGAGACAUGCACUCAUCGUGAUUUUUCUAGAAUGCUCAUCAUGCUUCACUUAUAUCUUUUGAGCUAGAGAAUUUUCCUCUAUGUGCUUCACUUAGAUCUUUUAGAGCACGGCGGUGCGUGACUUGGUAGUUGGCUUGUGCUAUGAAAGUAGUCCCAAAGGUGAUAGAUACCCGAAGAGGAUAGAAAAACCUGCAUCUUCAUGUGUAUUGAAUAGAAAGAGAAGUUUUGAUUCAUCUCAAUUAGUUUUGAGACGUGGAUUUGGUAAUAUUAAGAGCUAUGUUAGUAGGGUGUUGUGAAUCUAGAAAUACUUGUGUUGAAGUUAGUGAUUCCCGUAGCAUGCACGUAUGGUGAACCACUAUGUUAGGAAGUCGGAGCAUAAUUGAUCUGUUGAUUGUCAUCCUUUGUGUUACGGUCGGGAUCGCGCGAUGGUUAACACCUACCAACCCUUCCCCUAGGAGUAUGCGUUUAGCACUUUGUUUGGAUUACUAACAAAACUUUCGCAACAAGUAUGUGAGUUCUUCAUGACUAAUGUGAGUCUAUGCUAUAGAUGCACUUUCGCCUUCCACCAUUGUUAUCCUCUCUAGUGCCGCGCAAUUUUCGUCGGUGCACAAACCCACCAUAUGCCUUCCUAAAAACAGCCACCAUACCUACCUACUAUGGCAUUUUCAUAGCCAUUCCGAGAUAUAUUGCCAUGCAACUCCCACCGUUCCGUCUCAUGACUUGUGCCGUCACUCUCAUAUUGCCAUUUCAUGAUCGUAAGAUAGCUAGCGAGAUAUUUCAACGUCAUACGCCAAGCUAGAUCGUUGCACAUCUCGGUACACUGCCGGAGGCAUUUCCUAUAUAUAGAGUCAUCAUCGUUCUGAGCUUUGACCUGUGAGUAAAUAAAAGUGUGAUGAUCAUCAUUAUUAGAGCAUUGUCCCAUGUGAGGAAAUAAAAAAACAAAAAGAGGCCAAAGAGCCCAAAUAAAAAAAGAGAAAACAAAAAAGAGAAAAAAGAGGCCCAAGAGCCCAAAUAAAAAAAGAGAAAAAGAGAGAAGGGACAAUGCUACUAUCUUUUUCCACACUUGUGCUUCAUAAUAGCACCAUGUUCUUCAUGAUUUUGAGCCUCUCCUUUUGUCACCACCAUAUGCUAGUGGGAAUAUUUAUUAUAUAAGUUGGCUUGUAUAUUCCAAUGAUGGGCUUCCUCAAAAUUUCCCUAGGUCUUCGUGAGCAAGCAAGUUGGAUGCACACCCACUAGUUCUCCUUUUGAGCUUUCACAUACUUAUAGCUCUAGUGCAUCUUUUGUAUGGCAAUCCCUACUCAUUCACAUUGAUAUCUAUUAAUGGGCAUCUCCAUAGCCCUUUGAUACGCCGAGUCAAUGUGACCAUCUCCUCCCUUUUUGUCUCACAACCACCACCACACUCUAUUCCACCUAUAGUGUUAUAUCCAUGGCUCACGCUCAUGUAUUGUGUGAUAGUUAUAAAAAGUUUGAGGAAGUAAGAGUGCGAAAACAAUUACUUGGCCAAUACCGGGGUUGUGCAUGAUUUAAAUUAGUUGUGUGAGGAUGAUGGAGCAUAGCCAGACUAUAUGAUUUUGUAGGGAUAACCUCCUUUGGCCUUGUUAUUUCGAAAGUUCAUGAUUACCUUGCUAGUUUGCUUGAAGUAUUAUUGUUUUCAUGUCAAUAGCAAACUAUUGUUUUGAAUCUUACGGAUCUAAAUAUUCAUGUCACACGAAAGAAGUUACAAAGGACAACUAUGCUAGGUAGCAUUCCACGUCAAAAAUUCAGUCUUUAUCACUUCCCUACUCGAGGACGAGCAGGAGUUAAGCUUGGGGAUGCUUGAUACGUCUCCAACGUAUCUAUAAUUUUUGAUGGUUUCAUGCUAUUAUCUUGUCAAACUUUGGAUGUUUUGUAUUCCUUUUAUAUCUUUUUGGGGCUAACUUAUUAACUCAGUGCCAAGUGCCAGUUCCUGUUUUUUCCGUGUCUUUUCAGAGGAGGAUUUUAAACGGAGUACAAACGGAACGAAACUUCCAAAAAGAUUUUUUCUGAAAUAGAACACGAUCGGGGGACUUGAGAACCAAGGCAGGGGGCCACCAGGGACCCCACAAGCCCCCUAGCCGCGGCCAAGGGGGCCCGCGCCUCCAAGGCUUGUGGGAUCUCUGGGUCACCUCUGCCCUAGGUCUUUCGCCUAUAUAUUCCCAAAAAUUCCAGAAAAAUCAGGAGAUCAUCGAAAGUACUUUUCCGCCGCCGCAAGCUUCUGUCUCCGCAAGAUCCCAUCUGGGGCACGUUCUGGUGCCUUGCCGGAGAGGGGGAUUCUGAUAUGGAGGGCUUCUUCAUCAACACCAUGACCUAUCCGAUGUUGCGUGAAUAGUUCACCAUAGCCUACGGGUCCAUAACUAGUAGCUAGAUGGCUUCUUCUCUCUCUUGGAUCUUCAAUACAAAGUUCUCCAUGAUCUUCAUGGAGAUCUAUCCGAUGUAAUCUUCUUUCGCGGUGUGUUUGUCUAGAUCCGCUGAAUUUUGUAUUUAUGAUCUGAUUAUCUAUGAAUCUUAUUUGAGUUUCUUCUGAUAUCUUAUAUGCAUUCUUUCAUAUCCUUGUAAUUCUCUUCGAGUUGUGGGUUUUGUUUGGCUAGCUUGAUCUAUGAUUCUUGCAAUGGGAUAAGUGCUUGGUUUUGGGUUCAUACUGUGCGGUGACCUCACCAACUGACAGAAGGGGUACCGAGGCACGCAUCAUGUUGUUGCCAUCAAGGGUAAAAAGAUGGGGUUUUCAUCAUUGGUUUGAGUUUAUCCUUCUACAUCAUGUCAUCUUGCUUAAGGCGUUACUCUGUUCGUCAUGAACUCAAUACACUAGAUGCAUGCUGGAUAGCGGUCGAUGUGUGUAGUAAUAGUAGUAGAUGCAGAAAGUAUCGGUCUACUUGUCUCCGACGUGAUGCCUAUAUGUAUGAUCAUUGCCUUAGAUAUCAUCAUGACUUUGCGCGGUUCUAUCAAUUGCUCGACAGUAAUUUUAUCACCCACCGUAAUAUUUUCUAUUUUGAGAGAAGCCUCUAGUGAACACUAUGGCCCCCGGGUCUACUUCACACCAUAUUUUCAGCCUUACUCUUUUACUUCGUUGCACUUUCCGCCUUCAGAUCUCACUUUGCAAUCAAUUUUGAAGGGAUUGACAACCUCUUUAUAGCGUUGGGUGCAUGCUCGUUUGUGUUUGCGCAGGUACUCUGGACUUGACGAGAUUCUCCUACUGGAUUGAUACCUUGGUUCUCAAACUGAGGGAAAUACUUGCUGCUCCUAUGCUGCAUCACCCUUUCCUCUUCAAGGGAAAAACCAACGCAAGCAAGUCUCCGUCAAUGUGUCAAUUUGUGGCGCUGUUGUUUGAGAAGUAGCAUUAGCCUCCGGGCCCGCCGUAAGGGAGGCGUGUUUGGUCAGAGCCGUUUGCUGUGAUACCGGCGUCCAGGUUAGGUCCGAUCUAGGGGACGACUCUUUGAAAGAGAGGGAUACGAGGACAUAGUCGGACGUGAUACCCGAAGUUAAAGCUUCGGGGUUUCUGAUCUCAUCGACCGAGCCCGGUAUUCCUGUGAGGACCAGAUUGGUAUGCGAAAGGGUUGGGGGUUCGAUACUCCCUGACCUCGCUUGCUGGUCGGGGGCCAAACUUCCGAUCUGGCCAGGAUGGCCGAUUGGGUCUGCGCGAAGCGUAAUGCUACCAAACGAGAGAACCUAUCCGGAGACAAAGACGUCACCAUUACUGAUUCUGUCUCUAACCAUUAGGUGAGCCAUCGAACCUUUCGGCGUUCCUGAAGUGUAAAUCUCAAUGAAAGCACCAAUGUCAGUGUCUAAACCGCCACAUAUCGGGUAGGGUGUCCCGUACUGUGGACCUUCGAUCGAUGGGUUGCAGGAAGACGGGGGAGACAGUAGUUUACCCUGGUUCGGGACUUCCUAUGGAGGUAAUAACCUACGUCCUGCUUGAUUAUAUUGAUGAAGAUGAUUAUAUAGUGGAUCUACCUCGAUAUCGUAUAUGCUAAACCUUAGAUGAUUCAGCCACCUCUAUACGGAUAAGAGUCCCUGAUUUAUAUAAACACCAAGGUCCCUAGGGUUUACAAGUUACCAAGUAUAAUCGGGGAUAGAUGAGCCGACAUAUUCUUCCUAAGCUUGAAGUACACGCCAAUCUUCGGGAUAUUCUAUCCAGAGUAGAGGUCGUCAUGACAGCCGGUCUUCUUCAGCACGGCCCAAUGGGCAAACCCAGUAUUGACUAACCGGCCGCCCGAGGACCCGAGAAUCCUGGACUCCCUCACAAGGGCAAUUUAAAAAGGAAAAUGAAGCCUCGGAGGGAGAACAAAAGCGCACCAUGAUUAAAACACUUCAGCCAUGAAGUACUUAAAACAAAAUCUCCCUACAAUUGUUUUUAUACCCCCACGGGGCCAAUUGGUUCGCUGUGCAACAUGAUAGAAGAAAAAGCGAUAAUAGCUUAGGAGGAGGAGGCGGUGUCGUUCUCAUCAUUGUCGCUCAUGAGGCCCCCUCCAGGGCUUCCUCCCUCCUCGAAGGGCUCGACAUGCAUGAACUACUUGAUCAGAGAGUCCACGUGCUCGCAUUCUUCAUCCUUGAGAAGGCCGUGGGGCUCUACAGGCACCAGCUCUACCACGAGGGAAAAGUCAAAGGUAGGGUCGUGGCGGCAAAGGUUAGAGAAGUCGUGUGUCGCCACAUAGUCCAGGAGGUCUCGGGAACCGCCAUCGAUGGCCUCGUCCACCUUGGAGACACCCGACACCAGCACCUCCACAUCUUUCAUGAAGAAGUCGAGGUAGCCACCAUUGGAGUGCGCGAGGGGCAGUGUCGGGAUGUCCUCAAUGAAACGGUCAAGUGCGCCACUAGCGCGCAUGACGAGCACCAAGAAGAACUUCGUAGGCCAUGCCUGCAUCACUCGCACAUGCGCCUCGUUGUCUCGGGCCCUCCGCAUGGCUUCAGUGACCUCACCAACCUGCGCCUAGAGCAGCACGAGCUCUGCCUCCACAUCCCAUUUGCCCUCAAGGCUGGUCUGGAGGUCUACCUCACCAUCCUAGACCUAGGCCUUGAGCUCAUGAGCCUCCUCCUAGAGCUCAUCGCGCUUGAGCUCGAAGCUGGUCUCCUCCAGCACCACCCUACCGUGGUACUCCUCUCAAGCAGCCUCCCGCUCCCUAGUGACCCUCGCGUCAGCCUCAACAUUGGUCAUGGUGCGCGCGGCCUCAAGGUCAGCUCCGUCGCAGAGAACCCGUCCUUCCAUGGUAAAGAGACACCCGCUCUCUGCCUCUUGGUCGAAGGCGGUCUGGGCGGCCUCCCGCUCCAGAAGGACUAUGUUGGCCUCUCAGCCAAUGAGGUCCUCUUCCUUUGGGGCCAGCUCUCCCUCGCACAUGAUGCACUACUGCUCGCACACGGUGGCCGCAUCCUCGCGGACUUGGAGCUCCCGCACGCAGAGGGCGACCAGCUCCUCUGCCCGGUAGGAUCGUGAUUCGGCCUCCCAGCGCUGGGUGCUCUCCGCUCGGAGGUUGGCCUCGAGCGCAUCAAGUGUGUCAUGCAUGCUUGGGGGAGCUCCGCAGGCGGCUGAGCCUCCCGCGGGGUCUUCUCCCUCCACAUGCCCCUUGUUGGUGGUCGGGGUAGCGCUGUGAGCCGCGAGCUGGGGGCUCACCGCCGCCCUCUGGUCGUCGCCUUUAGCACCAGUCUCCUCCAGGGUCGGGCGGUCAUGCGGCAUGAGUGCCUCCCCAGAAAGUCGCACCGGCGAGGGCGCCACGGAAAUGGAGGCCCUUUGACUCUUGCGUGCGGGCCCCUUGAAGGGCCAGCUAUUCAAUCCAUCAUACUCAUCAACGGCGAGCAAAAAUGGGUAAGAAAAUUGGCGAACUUACUCAUCGAUGGUCGCCUAGUGCCUCUGCGUUGGCAAGGACCGUAGGCGCUGGCUGCCGCCACUUCCAGGGGAGGACGACAACACCGUAGGAUCCUCCUGUGCCUCGACGAUGGUGGCGCUCCUCUUUGGCACCAUGGCAUUGGAAACCGCG
rnacentral:lncRNA from 1 species